AUGUGUGUGCCUAAGGACAGAGGGGGUCUAGGCUUUCGUGACAUCAAUAGCUUCAACCUCGCAAUGCUUGCCAAACAGUGUUGGCGGCUAGUUGAAAACUAUGACUCACUUUGUGCCAAGGUUUUGAGGUCCAAGUAUUUCCCCACGGGUGACAUCUUAAAUUGCCAGUUAAAAAAAGGAUCGUCAUAUGUGUGGCAGAGUAUAUGGGCUGGUGUUCAAACGUUUAAAAAGGGCUGCAUAUGGAGAGUUGGUAAUGGAAGCAAAAUAAACAUUUGGGAGGAUUGCUGGAUACCGAAUAGUUCUUCAAGGAAAAUCAUCACAGUUCGUGGUAAUAGAGUGCUCACGAGAGUAGAAGAAUUUUUCGAUCCGAUUACUGGUGCUUGGGAUGAAGACCUCAUUAGGGACAACUUCUGGCAUAUUGAUGCGGAAAGAAUUUUACAAAUCCCGAUUCAUCACCAGCAGACGGAAGAUUACAUUGCAUGGCACCUUACUAAAUCAGGGAUAUUCAGUGUGAGAUCG
rnacentral:rRNA from 1 species